AUUUAAUCAGCGCUCACUUUGAUUCGCGUUAAAUCCAGCCUGAGCUGAAGCACAGAUCUCAAAAGUGUUUAAAUCCGAUUCAGUGCUCAGAACGAUGGGUGUCGUUCUUUAUAUCUGUCUCCUCUUGUCCUGUCUUACAGGCGUGCGAUCCGACAUCCUGCUGAAUCAAGCCGACUUAGCCGUGGUAAAGCUCGGAGAGUCGCACAGACUGUCCUGUGAAGCCAGUGGUUUCAAUAUCAACAGCUAUACCAUGUACUGGGUGAAACAGGCCUCCGGGAAAGGGCUGGAAACGUUGGUACGUUAUUAUAGUGAAAGUAAUAAGUAUUACGCGCCUGAAAUCGAGAGACGGUUCACCGCUUCCAAGGGCAGCAGCAAUUUUUAUCUGCAAAUGAACGACCUGAUACUGGACGACACAGGCACAUAUUACUGUGCGACGCACAGUUAG